UACGUAGGGUGCAAGCGUUAAUCGGAAUUACUGGGCGUAAAGAGCUCGUAGGCGGUUUGUUGCGUCGGCUGUGAAAUCCCGAGGCUCAACCUCGGGUCUGCAGUCGAUACGAGCAAACUAGAGUGUUGCAGGGGAGACUGGAAUUCCUGGUGUAGCGGUGAAAUGCGCAGAUAUCAGGAGGAACACCGGUGGCGAAGGCGGGUCUCUGGGCUGUAACUGACGCUGAGGAGCGAAAGCGUGGGUAGCGAACAGG
rnacentral:rRNA from 1 species